rnacentral:rRNA from 1 species
UACGUAGGCAGCGAGCGUUGUUCGGAGUUACUGGGCGUAAAGGGUGUGUAGGCGGUUGUUUAGGUUUGGUGUGAAAUCUCCCGGCUCAACUGGGAGGGUGCGCCGAAUACUGAGCGACUAGAGUGCGGGAGAGGAAAGUGGAGUUCCUGGUGUAGCGGUGAAAUGCGUAGAUAUCAGGAGGAACACCGGUGGUGUAGACGGCUUUCUGGACCGUAACUGACGCUGAGACACGAAAGCGUGGGUAGCAAACAGG